AGCGAACGCUGGCGGCAGGCUUAACACAUGCAAGUCGAGCGGGCACUUUCUUGUGUCAGCGGCGGACGGGUUAGUAACUCGUUGGAACGUGCCCUCUGGUUCGGAAUAACUCAUUGAAACUUGAGCUAAUACCGGAUACGCCCUUUUGGGGAAAGGCUUGCUGCCGGAGGAUCGUCCCGCGUCUGAUUAGCUAGUUGGUGAGGUAACGGCUCACCAAGGCGACGAUCAGUAGAUGGUCUGAGAGGAUGAUAAGCCACACUGGGACUGAGACACGGCCCAGAAUAGUACGGGAGGAAGGAGAGGGGAAUAUUGGAAAAUGGGGGCAAGGAUGAAAAAGACAUGCGGGGUGAGUGAUGAAGGCAUGAGGGUUGUAAAGAUCUUUUAAACGGGACGAGAAUGACGGUAACGGAGGAAUAAGCAACGGCUAACUACGUG
rnacentral:rRNA from 1 species